AGAGUUUGAUCAUGGCUCAGGACGAACGCUGGCGGCGCGCUUCACACAUGCAAGUCGAGCGGGGGGCGAAAGCCCCCAGCGGCGGACGGGUGAGUAAUACGUGGGCAACCUAUCCAUUGGACGGGGAUAACACCGGGAAACUGGUGCUAAUACCGGGUGAGCUCGUUCCGGGGCAUCCUGGGGCGAGGAUAGGGUCGCAAGGCCCGCCGAUGGAGGGGCUCACGGGCCAUUAGCUAGUUGGUGGGGUAACGGCCUACCAAGGCGACGAUGGCUAGCCGGCCUGAGAGGGUGGUCGGCCACACUGGGACUGAGACACGGCCCAGACUCCUACGGGAGGCAGCAGUGGGGAAUUUUGCGCAAUGGGGGAAACCCUGACGCAGCGACGCCGUGUGCGCGAGGAAGGCCUUCGGGUUGUAAAGCGCUGUCGGUGGGGACGAAGUCUCGGGUGAAGAGCCCGAGGUGACGGUACCCGCGGAGGAAGCCCCGGCUAACCACGUGCCAGCAGCCGCGGUAACACGUGGGGGGCGAGCGUUGUCCGGAAUUACUGGGCGUAAAGGGCGUCUAGGCGGUUUGAUACGUCGAGGGUGAAAGCCCCGGGCUCAACCUGGGGAGGUCCCUCGAAACGGUCAAGCUUGAGGGCCGGAGAGGGAAGCGGAAUUGCCGGUGUAGCGGUGAAAUGCGUAGAGAUCGGCAGGAACACCAGUGGCGAAGGCGGCUUCCUGGACGGUACCUGACGCUGAAGCGCGAAAGCGUGGGGAGCGAACGGGAUUAGAUACCCCGGUAGUCCACGCCGUAAACGAUGGGUGCUAGGUGUGGUGGGUAUCGACCCCCGCCGUGCCGGAGUUAACACACUAAGCACCCCGCCUGGGGAGUACGGCCGCAAGGCUGAAACUCAAAGGAAUUGACGGGGGCCCGCACAAGCAGUGGAGCAUGUGGUUUAUUCGACGCACGCGAAAACCUUACAGGGCUUGAC
rnacentral:rRNA from 1 species